rnacentral:tRNA from 3 species
GCGGUUAUAGGUCAAUGGUAGACUUGCCGAUUUCCAUCCGGCUUAUGUCAGUUCGAUUCUGACUAACCGUA